GUGCAUUGCAGUUGCAUUGCA
rnacentral:piRNA from 1 species